rnacentral:rRNA from 1 species
GACGAACGCUGGCGGCGUGCCUAAUACAUGCAAGUCGAACGCAGUGGGGACGGGUGAGUAACACGUGGGUAACCUCCCAUCAGAGGGGAUAACCCUUGGAAACAGGUGCUAACCCGCUACUGCUUGAUGGACCCGCGGUGCAUUAGCUAGUUGGGGAGGUACCGGCUCACCAAGGCCACGAUGCAUAGCCGACCUGAGAGGGUGAUCGGCCACACUGGAACUGAGACACGGCCCAGACUCCUACGGGAGGCAGCAGUAGGGAAUCUUGCGCAAUGGACGAAAGUCUGACCGAGCAACGCCGCGUGAGUGAAGAAGGUUUUCGGAUCGUAAAACUCUGUUGGUAGAGAAGCGGUAUCUAACCAGAAAGCCACGGCUAACUACGUGCCAGCAGCCGCGGUAAUAC